rnacentral:rRNA from 1 species
UACGUAGGGGCAAGCGUUGUCCGGGAAUCAUUGGGCGUAAAGAGCGUGUAGGCGGCCAGAAAAGUCCGCUGUGAAAACUCGAGGCUCAACUUCGAGCUGUCGGUGGAAACUUUCUGGCUAGAGUCCGGAAGAGGAGAAUGGAAUUCCUGGUGUAGCGGUGAAAUGCGCAGAUAUCAGGAAGAACACCCGUGGCGAAGGCGGUUCUCUGGGACGGUACUGACGCUGAGACGCGAAAGCGUGGGGAGCGAACAGG